CUCUCCCAGGCUCCCCGCUGCAGCGGCGGGGCUGCCGGGGGCGGCACACUCCAACGCCAGCCAGAGAGUUAGCGCCGCUUGAGGCCAGCCGGGGACGAGACGCUUUACACUGCCUGAUGGGUACUAGCAGCCCACCCCAGCCAGAUGGAGGACAAGGCCUCUCCAAGUCUCAAGGAAAUGCACAAUCCUUCCUUACCUCUGGCCUCAGAAAUCUCAGCAUCUCAUUGAUUAGCAACCUCGUCUGUGGCAAAUCUAAGGAACACCUUCUACUUAAAAUUGAAGUCUUCUGGGCUGGGUGUGGUGGCUCACUCCUGUAAUCCCAGCACUUUGGGAGGCCAAGGCAUGCGGAUCACGAAGUCAGGAGUUCGAGACCAGCCUGGCCAACAUAGUGAAACCCUGUCUCUACUAAAAAUACAAAAAUGAGCCGAGUGUGGUGGCACGUUCCUGUAGUCCCAGCUACUCGGGAGGCUGAGGUGGGAGAAUCGCUUCAACCCGGGAGAUGGAGGUUGCAGUGAGCCGAGACCACACCAUUGCACUCCAGCCUGGGUGACAGAGUGAGACUCUGUCUCAAAUUUAAAAAAAAAAAAUUGAAGUCUUCUGUGACUUACUUCCACCUUUCACAUUCACACAUA